rnacentral:lncRNA from 1 species
UCUUUCUAUAAUAAUAUUCAAGAUAAUAACCAAAAUCUGCAAUAUUUUUCUCAAAUAACUAAUUUCGGGGCAGCAACCCAAUAACUGGUUGUCCAAUUUGUGUGAAAGUUUCAGGGCAGAUAGAUCUUGACCUAAAAGACAAUUUAAACACAUGUCAGAUUUGCUCUAAAUGUAAUGAUUGUGUCCAAGUUUGGUUAAAUUUGGCCCAGUAGUUUCAGAGGAGAAGAUUUUUGUAAAAGUUUAUGGACGACGGACCCCAGACCCCGGACAACGGACCCCAG